UACGUAGGGUGCGAGCGUUGCCCGGAUUUAUUGGGCGUAAAGGGCGCGUAGGCGGCCACGCACGUCCGUUGUGAAAUCGCCCGGCUCAACUGGGCGGGGUCAGCGGAUACGGUGUGGCUCGAGCAAGCUAGGGGGCAAUGGAAUUCCCGGUGUAGUGGUGGAAUGCGUAGAUAUCGGGAGGAACACCAGUGGCGAAGGCGGUUGCCUGGAGCUUUGCUGACGCUGAGGCGCGAAAGCGUGGGUAGCGAUCCGG
rnacentral:rRNA from 1 species